GCGUGAAAAUCAGCUCCGUCAACGUCAGCAAAACUUUUUUGAUCUGACGUCAUCGUCGCCGGCCACGUCAUCAUUUGUGACGACACAAGUAGUUGUUCCACGUCUUACACAUCUCGAGGAACGGCUCAUCGAGUUGGGUGUCGAGCACGAAGUUGUGCAGCAUACGCAGAGAUUACAGUCGGAAUUUGAGAAUUAUCAUCAUCUCCAGCAGCAACAUAAUCAUCAGAAUUUCCAACAACAACAACAGGGAAAUCACGAUUUUGUGACCCCGAAAGUGAGUUUUUUCGAUUUUUUACUAUGAAAUUCAGAUUCCCCGCCAAAUUUCACCCUUGGAGCACUUUUUCUGGACUUUUAGCUCAAUUUUUGAAAUUUUCGGGUUACGGUAGCCUCGAAAAUACGCAAACACCGGGGGGGCCUCACGACAAAUUGCACAGCUUUCGCAAAUUUGAAGCUGGUGCUCUGAAAAUUGCGUUUCCCGGGGUAGAAAACGACGGGGGAUUCGAAUUUUUCAUCAAAAACUAUUCAAAUCGAGUUUUUUUAAAUGGAAAUUCACAUUUUUUGAGUUUUUAGAAUUUUUCAACUUGAAAAUAUAAUUUUUGUAAAAAAUAAUGCUCAAAUUCGAGUUCCCCGCCAAAUUUUACCCCGGAAUCCUGUUUACUCGGGCUUCUAGCUCGAAUUUUCAUAAUUCCGGGGUACUGUAGCUCCGGAAGUACGCAAACACCACAGGUCUCACGACAAAAUGCACCGUUUUCGUAUUUUUGGUGUUAGCGGUCUGAAAAUCAGGCUCUUAGAGUGAAAAAUGACGAGAAUAUCGAAAAUCGACUUGAAAAUUCGUUUUGCACAAAUUUUUGGAGUUAAAAAAGCGAAAAAAUCGGAAUUUUCCGUCAAAAUUUGAACAUUUUAAUUUGAUUUUCGUAUUUUGCGUCAUUUUUCACCCCCGGACCCCUAUUUCCAGACCGCUAACACCAAAAAUAUGCAAACUGUGCAUUUUGUCGUUAGCCACUCGGUGUUUGCGUAUUUUUGGCGCUACCGUAACCCGGAAAAUUUAAAUUUUGAGUUAAAGACGUUGAAAAUAGCGUAUAGAGGUGAAAUUUCAUGGGAAAUUUGAAUUUUUACAUGAAAUUUUUGAAAAUUAAUUUCAAACCCGGAUUUUUUAAGCUUUCAAGUUAAUUUUUCCGUGAAAAUAGUUUCGAAAUCGAAUUCCCCAUCAAAUUUCACACCUAAACCCAUUUUCUCAGGCUUCUAGCUCGAUUUUUGAAAAUUUUGGGGUACUGUAGCUCCAAAAAUACGCAAACACCGCGAUCUCUUACGCAAAAAGGCACAGUUUUCUCAAAUUUAAAGCUAGCGGUCUGAAAAUUGAGCUCCCGGGGUGAAAAAUGACGGAGAAUUUGAAAAUGAUAAUGAAAAUUUGAAAAAAUCACUUUUUUCAGGCCCCACAGGACAAACAAAAACGGAAAUAUACAAAGCGAAAAGCUCUUCUCAACACAGCAGUGGCUUCUUCGUCGGAUCAAAACGGCAUGAAAAGUCCCGGUAGUUCGGCGAUGGAAAAUGCUGCCGCUGCGGCCCAGGCUGCUCAGGCCCAGGCGCAGGCAACAAUACCUACACCUACAGUAAACCUACCAGAUGUUGUGGCAAUUGCCGCUGCGGCGGCAACCGCCCAACCGUCGGCCGCCGCCGCCAAACGCCCGGCCAGUGAAACACCGCCAAAUGGGCUGCCAAAAGUCCCAAGACACGAUGAGCAACAGCAACAACAAAAUAAUGCACAUUCUAUUGUGAUGGGCGCUCGAGAGGGAUUUUU
rnacentral:sRNA from 1 species